rnacentral:rRNA from 1 species
GAUGAACGCUGGCGGCGUGCCUCAUACAUGCGAGUAGAGCGAAGCGGGGACGGGUGAGUAACACGUGGAUAACCUCCUAUAAGACUGGGAUGACUUCGAGAAACAGGAGCUAAAACGGAUACUUCUAGAUGGAUCCGCUGUGCAUUAGCUAGUUGGUAAGGUAACGGCUCACAAAGGCAACGAUGCAUAGCCGACCUGAUCGCGUUAUCGGCCACCCUGGAAUUUAGACACGGUCCAGACUCCUAAGGGAGGCAGCAGUAGGGAAUCUUCCGCAAGGGGCGAAAGCCUGACGGAGCAACGCCGCGUGAGUGAUGAAGGCCUUCGGAUCGUAAAACUCUGUUAUUCGGGAAGCGGUACCUAAUCAGAAAGCCACGGCUAACUACGUGCCAGCAGCCGCGGUAAUUC